AGUGAACGCUGGCGGUAGGCCUAACACAUGCAAGUCGAACGGCAGCACAGAUGAGCUUGCUCCUUGGGUGGCGAGUGGCGGACGGGUGAGGAAUACAUCGGAAUCUACUCUGUCGUGGGGGAUAACGUAGGGAAACUUACGCUAAUACCGCAUACGACCUACGGGUGAAAGCAGGGGAUCUUCGGACCUUGCGCGAUUGAAUGAGCCGAUGUCGGAUUAGCUAGUUGGCGGGGUAAAGGCCCACCAAGGCGACGAUCCGUAGCUGGUCUGAGAGGAUGAUCAGCCACACUGGAAAGGAGACACGGUCCAGACUCCUACGGGAGGCAGCAGUGGGGAAUAUUGGACAAUGGGCGCAAGCCUGAUCCAGCCAUACCGCGUGGGUGAAGAAGGCCUUCGGGUUGUAAAGCCCUUUUGUUGGGAAAGAAAUCCAUCUGGUUAAUACCCGGGUGGGAUGACGGUACCCAAAGAAUAAGCACCGGCUAACUUCGUGCCAGCCGCCGCCGUAA
rnacentral:rRNA from 1 species